UGCGUAGGCGGGAUGUAAAGUCAGAUGUGAAAUACCGUGGCUUAACCACGGGGCUGCAUUUGAAACUUAUGUUCUUGAGUUAAGUAGAGGCAAGUGGAAUUCCCAGUGUAGCGGUGAAAUGCGUAGAUAUUGGGAGGAACACCAGUGGCGAAGGCGAUUUGCUGGGCUUAUACUGACGCUGAGGCACGAAAGUGUGGGGAGCAAACAGGAUUAGAUACCCUGGCAGUCCACACUGUAAACGAUGAUUACUAGGUGUAGGGUGGCUGAACCACUCUGUGCCGCAGUUAACACAAUAAGUAAUCCACCUGGGGAGUACGGCCGCAAGGUUGAA
rnacentral:rRNA from 1 species